rnacentral:rRNA from 1 species
UACGAAGGUGGCAAGCGUUGUUCUGAUUUACUGGGCGUACAGGGAGCGUAGGCGGUUGGAUAAGCCCUCCGUGAAAUCUCCAGGCUUAACCUGGAAAGUGCAGAGGGGACUGUUCAGCUAGAGGAUGGGAGAGGAGCGCGGAAUUCCCGGUGUAGCGGUGAAAUGCGUAGAGAUCGGGAGGAAGGCCGGUGGCGAAGGCGGCGCUCUGGAACAUUUCUGACGCUGAGGCUCGAAAGCGUGGGGAGCAAACAGG